AUGGUGUCCCCGUUGCAAUUCCUGCGGCUUCUGCUCCUCUGGGUUCCAGCCUCCAGGGGUGAUGUUGUGAUGACACAGUCUCCAGCUUUCCUCUCUGUGACUCCAGGGGAGAAAGUCACCAUCACCUGCCAGGCCAGUGAAGGCAUUGGCAACUACUUAUACUGGUACCAGCAGAAACCAGAUCAAGCCCCAAAGCUCCUCAUCAAGUAUGCUUCCCAGUCCAUCUCAGGGGUCCCCUCGAGGUUCAGUGGCAGUGGAUCUGGGACAGAUUUCACCUUUACCAUCAGUAGCCUGGAAGCUGAAGAUGCUGCAACAUAUUACUGUCAGCAGGGCAAUAAGCACCCUCA